GACGGGGGAUGCAAGCGUUAUCCGGAAUCACUGGGCGUAAAGCGUCUGUAGGUGGUGAUGCAAGUCACUGGUGCAAAACUCUGGCUCAACCGGAGGAAAGCCAGUGAAACUGCAUGACUAGAGUGUGGGAGAGGUAGAAGGAAUUCCCUGAGUAGCGGUGAAAUGCGUAGAUACAGGGAAGAACACCGGAGGCGAAAGCGUUCUAUUGGAACACAACUGACACUGAUGGUCUAAAGCUAGGGGUGCGAAUGGG
rnacentral:rRNA from 1 species